rnacentral:rRNA from 1 species
GACGAACGCUGGCGGCGUGCCUAAUACAUGCAAGUAGAACGCUGAAGGAGGAGCUUGCUUCUCUGGAUGAGUUGCGAACGGGUGAGUAACGCGUAGGUAACCUGCCUGGUAGCGGGGGAUAACUAUUGGAAACGAUAGCUAAUACCGCAUAAGAGUAGAUGUUGCAUGACAUUUGCUUAAAAGGUGCAAUUGCAUCACUACCAGAUGGACCUGCGUUGUAUUAGCUAGUUGGUGGGGUAACGGCUCACCAAGGCGACGAUACAUAGCCGACCUGAGAGGGGGAGCGGCGAAACUGGGACGGGGACACGGCCCAGACUCCUACGGGAGGCAGCAGUAGGGAAUCUUCGGGAAUGGACGGAAGGCUGACCGAGCAACGCCGCGUGAGUGAAGAAGGUUUUCGGGUCGUAAAGCUCAGUUGUAAGAGAAGAACGAGUGUGAGAGUGGAAAGUUCACACUGUGACGGUAUCUUACCAGAAAGAGACGGCUAACUACGUG